UUGCAGUGACGAAUAUUUGCGCCAAAUGUGAUGGUUGGGUCCAUUGCACCUUCUUCUUAUUCAUGAGAAGAUAUCGGUGCAUCUGAGCAA